AGAAUCAACGCUGGCGGCGUGCCUAACACAUGCAAGUCGGACGAGAAAGGGUAGCAAUACCUGAGUAAAGUGGCGCACGGGUGAGUAACACGUGACUAACCUACCCUGGAGUGGGGGAUAACUGAGGGAAACCUUAGCUAAUACCGCAUAAUACCUACGGGUCAAAGGAGCAAUUCGCUUUGGGAGGGGGUCGCGGCCGAUUAGUUAGUUGGCGGGGUAAUGGCCCACCAAGACGAUGAUCGGUAUCCGGCCUGAGAGGGCGCACGGACACACUGGAACUGAAACACGGUCCAGACUCCUACGGGAGGCAGCAGUGGGGAAUUUUGCGCAAUGGGGGAAACCCUGACGCAGCAACGCCGCGUGGAGGAUGAAGUACUUCGGUACGUAAACUCCUUUCGAUCGGGACGAUUAUGACGGUACCGAGAGAAGAAGCCCCGGCUAACUUCGCGCCAGCAGCCGC
rnacentral:rRNA from 1 species